CCAUGUAAUGAAGAAGAUCUUGCUCUUCUGGCAUUUGUCGACGGUGACGAAGUCGAAGUCGAAGACGGCAUAGCGGCAGUCGUCGGUGGGGAGGGAAGCGGCCAGGUCUUCAUAUCCCUCGCCAGGACCACCCACCUUGUCCACCAUCACAGCUCUGGACCCCUCGUCGAUCUUGUACACGAUGUAUCGGUGCACCUUUUUCCACUUCAUUUCCAUGAACGACCGCCGGCACUCCUCCUUUACGCUCAUCCCCUCCGUCGCCUGCCAUCACAACAACUAAAUUCAAAAGAAGAACACACAAAAGGAAUUGAAGAAGGUGGUCAUGUUGCUGAUGUUGAUAUUGCUAUUACCAUCUUGAAAGCCAUAGCCAUGGUUGCAGUAGGGGUGGUGGAGCUGCCGGUAUGUCCU
rnacentral:lncRNA from 1 species